ACCUGUCUCUCUCUUUCUCUCUCACCUGUCUGUCUAUACCCGUCUGUCUUUUUAACCUAUCUGUCUCUAACCGGUCUCUGUCUCUCUCUACCUGUCUGUGUUUCAGAGGUUACCUCAGCAGAUUCAGGAGAGAAACGAGAAGUUGAAGGAGGAGAUGAUGAGUAAACUGAAGGACCUGGGGAACCUGGUCCUGAGGCCUUUCGGACUCUCCACCAACAACUUCCAGGUGAACCAGGACGCAGACACCGGCUCCUACUCCAUCAACUUCGUCCAGAACCCAAACAACAACAACAGAUGACAUCACAGCCACCAGUGCGGUGACGUCAUCACAGCCACCAGUGCGGUGACGUCAUCACAGCCACCAGUGCGGUGACGUCAUCACAGCCACCAGUGCGGUGACGACAUCACAGCCACCAGUGCGGUGACGUCAUCACAGCCACCAGUGCGGUGACGUCAUCACAGCCACCAGUGCGGUGACGUCAUCACAGCCACCAGUGCGGUGACGACAUCACAGCCACCAGUGCGGUGACGUCAUCACAGCCACCAGUGCGGUGACAUGUAGAUAAACCUGUUUGUGUUCAGAGGAAAAUAAAAACUGAUUGAUUUGU